UGCACUGCACUAAGUGUAGGAAAGAUAGCCCAUCCCAACGUCCGAGACGGGUGAAUUUUGUGGAGGACGGGUUAAAAAAAAAUCUGGUCCGUCCUCAUGUCGGGUCAGUUUUAGCAAACCAAUGACA